rnacentral:rRNA from 1 species
CAGCACCUCAAGUGGGCAGGAUGAUUAUUGGGCCUAAAGCAUCCGUAGCCGGCGCUGUAAGUUUUCGGUUAAAUCUGUACGCUCAACGUACAUGCUGCCGGGAAUACUGCAGCGCUAGGGAGUGGGAGAGGUAGACGGUACUCGGUAGGAAGGGGUAAAAUCCUUUGAUCUAUUGAUGACCACCUGUGGCGAAGGCGGUCUACCAGAACACGUCCGACGGUGAGGGAUGAAAGCUGGGGGAGCAAACCGGAUUAGAUACCCGAGUAGUCC